rnacentral:lncRNA from 1 species
UUUUUUUUUUUGGGUAAAUGUCACUGAGGUAUUACAUACAUAUAAGAAAAGUUCAUAAAGCACAGGUCCCAGGUUUCAUGAAUUUUCACAAACUGAACACAUCCAGGUCAUCAGCAUCCAGGUCCAGAAACAGAACACUAGCAGGACCCCUUCAAAGGCGGCCUUUAAAAAAUUCCAACCAAGGUGACUCUGUUCACUAAGCCAGUGUUCCCCAGGCUGUGACCAGCCUAAGAGGCACCUUUUCCAAGUCUGCACAAGAAUCUUCUACGUGCUCAUGGUGUCUGCAGACAGGUGGGCACGCCCCUCGAGAACGUACCACCCACAGAGAGGGACAGGUAGGGACUGAGGUGACAACCACAGGAUGCAGGAUGGGGCAAGUGACACUGCAGAGAGGGAGGCCCUCCUAGGUCCACACCCCUCCUCUCUCCCUGACUCAGUCCCAUCUCCUCCCCACAUUAAUAUCACAUCCUCUCACUAUCGGAGCUGGGAGGGGACACCAGGAUGAGACGCUCACUGUCCAUGGGACAGGAAGAAGCAACCAGGGUCACUGUCUUGCGUUUGAAUGUUGCCAUUUGGCUGCUAGGCGAAUAGUGGAAGUGAGUACGUUUUAGUGCUUCAUGGAAAAGAUCACUAUCGAGGCAUCUGAGGCUUCCUCACCUGACUUCUCCAGAGCCUGAGGAAAAGAGCCUGAUCAGGCCCUCCCCUGGCACGUGUUAAUUCUUUUCAAAGCGGCACACAACUUCUGCCCAUCACCAGACUCACAUGCCACAAGGACUGGACCCCAGAGCGCCGUCCCUAGAGCAAAACUGAGACUGCUCAAGGGAUACUAAAAUGCGGACUAGAUGAAUGCAAAGGCUAUAAAAAAAAAAAAAAGAAAAAUAUGCUAUAACUGGGAGUGGUUAAUGUCAUGGUCCAGUGGUUAAUGAAUCUGACAAGGAACCAUGAGAUGUUCCAUUUUCUACUUAAUGUUCCUUUCCAAUGAAGUUUCAAGACGAGUGUCUAGGAUGCCCUGCCUACCUGGCAGCCCUCGAAGGACCAGAAUCUGGACCUCUCGCCAGAGAACAUGGUUGGAAGGUGGGGUUUCAUCAGAAAAUAUGCAGCAAUCAUAUAGAUAACUGUUCUUUCCCAAAAGCUCCAAGGUUUGCAAACAUAAAGUUCUCAUUCAUCUUGCUGCUGAGCAUUUUUUUUUUUUUUUGUCUUUUCUAGGGCUGCACCAGCGGCAUAUGGAGGUUCCCAGGCUAGGGGUCUAAUCAGAACUGUGGCUGCCGGCCUAUGCCACAGCCACAGUAAUGCGGGAUCCGAGCCACAUCUGUGACCUACACCACAGCUCACGGCAACGCCAGAUACUUAACUCACUGAGCGAAGCCAGGGAUCGAACCCACAACCUCAUGGUUCCUAGUCAGAUUCGUUAACCUCUGAGCCACAACAGGAACUCCUGCUGAGCACUUCUCAGUCAGUGGAAUGUUCAAGUUCAAGGUCAGGAAGAGAAUCAACAGUGAGGGAAAGAUGGGAGAGUUCAGCGUGGGAGCUGCAGACCUGGGCGUCCUGCUGGGCCAGGUGCUUGGCUAGGGAGGCCUGAGACCUGGUGUUUUCCUGGCAGAGGUCAAAGCUUCUCCCCAGUUCCUGAUGCAAGGUCCCAGCCUGACACCACCAGGACAUCUUCCUGAAAAGGUGUUCCAACGUACUCGGGGCCCUUUAUUUCAGCCGGGGAUGCAAGGCACCCCAUGUCUCCAGGCAGAGCCCCCCGCCCCUGCCGCCCCACACCCAGCUGGGAGACCCUCUGCAUUGGGCUCCUGGAAGCCCAGCAAGGCUGCCCUGGCCCUGGGGGGACAGCGGGGGGGGGGGGCAGCCAUCUCUUCAAGGGACACUUGCAGGACUGUUCUACCCAGUUCUAUGCCUCAGACCUCACCUGCUCUCCUGAUUCGUGUUUCCUCCUCUGCCUCACACUCCUGGUCCCCACUUCCAUUUGCUGACAUCUCCCCCCUAAUGAACUAUUCAAUCUCUGGUCUUGGCUCUGCUGUUUCAGGGCGUCCCGAGCCACACAGGCGGGAUCCCUGCAUGUGUCCAAGCCAGGGCUGUGUGCACAGGGGCUGCCAGGGGACAGCACUUUGCCUACCCAGGAUAGGAAGUUCCUGGGCCCCCCUCCACCACUGAAGACAGGAAGAGAAGAAAUGGCUUGCAGGCCUCUGCUCUCCCUCCAAUAACUAAUACUUCACGGAGCGUUUGCUAGGUGCCGGAAUUAUGCUAAUUUGUAGGGUUAAAUUUCAGGAGAUUCUAGACUGCUUCCUGCGAAAUGGGCUCUAGUGUCCCCCAGAGUGUCCUAAAGCUUCAGUAUGAUAUGCUACCAAAUCGGGAGAUGGAAGUGGGGUCCCAGAUUUGACCCCAAGGUGGUUUGAGUUCCACCUCACACCCCUGCCCAUGACCAUGGGGCACAGGCCCCGGAAGGCAGCAUGGACUUGGGGAACCAUGAGAGACUUCUUCUGGGGAGAAAGGACAGAUAACCAGCUCUUUGAUGCCGUGACUUCAGGGUGCAGAGACGUUGCAUGCCAUCCUGGCAGGGACAUAUGGCGCUGAAGUAAGGCAGGACCAGGGUUGCAUGAAGGAGCAGCCAUGUCCCUUCUCUGACACCCGAGAUUUUGUUUCCAUAUUGGAAAAUGUGGAUUAUAAAAACUAUUUUACACUUAUUACUGAGAUUAAAAGAUUACACAAAGUAAGCACCUGUGACUUGUACAUAAUAAGUGCCCAAUGUGUGGCAGCCAUCCGUGCUGACAUUGUUCUUAGUGAUGCUAAAAUAGCCUCAGAGCAUUGCAUCUGUCCUCGUGCCUGGCGCUGAAGGUCUGGAGACCAGGUGCAGCCACAUGCUGGACUGGGCAGGACUGGUGGGGACCCUGGAUGCUGCAUUUGGGAAAGAGGAGUGGCCACUGCCAUAGGCCUUCCCUAGGACUCAGAACCAGCUAAGGCGGGAGGAGCUGGAGGCAGUGGCUCUCGGGGCCCAAGUCACUAUACAGAAGGGUGCCUGCUGAACACGGCAUCAGACCUUUCCAGAGUGAGAAUCAAGCUUCUACAGCAUUAAACCAAUGAAAUCUGGGGUUCUCUCUCUGUCGGCAGCUAGGGAUACCUUAAGAAAUUCAACAAGGUACUUUCUGAGCAUCCUUCCACCUUUAUGGGAUCCAGAAGGUGGAUGGACGUGCUUUCCAUACCCACAUCCAAGUCACACGGGGGAGAUGCUGAACCACGGAGCCCUGCAGUCAAAGGCCAGGCUCGGCCUGGGGGAAGCUGCUUCAUGACCAAAGUGGCAUGAGCUGGUGGCAGAUGCUGGCAGCAGUGAGCUCUGUGGGCAGGCCGUUUGACACAGGCUCUGUUGUUCACAUGUUUGCCACUCUGUCACAUGCAGUUAACAGAGCUCAACAGGACCUGACAGAAAAUCACUACAACCAGAGCAUUCUAUGGAUUUGUCCAAAGCCCAAUAGCCAGUUAGUGGCAAAGCUAAAAUCUCUUGGUUUUGUAGCCCAGAAGGUACCCCCUAGAGGCAGACGUUCUCAUAGAAUGUGUCAAGGUCACAUGAAGGGCACUCUCUUUCUGAUAUUUACUGCUCCAAGGGCACAUCCAGAUCAUCUGAAGGCAGAGAAUAAUUGUAACUCCCUCCCUCCCAGGACACGUGCCCCCAAUAAAUCCCCGAAGACAUGUCCCCAGACAACAGGCUUCAGCCAGUGACCAAAUCCAACACCUGCCUGCAGGCAAAGGGUGGACUGAGAAUGACCACCUUUGUUCUUACUGCCAGGAAAGGGAAAGUCUGUAAUUAUACCAACCCUAAGGAGAGACAUGGAUUUCCCAACUUUCACACUUUUUCACCUGUAAAUAUUAGCUUUCCCAUUGAAGCAGCUUAUACGCCAUUUCCCAUGCUUUCCAACAUUGAAUUAAAAGGCUGCCAGCACUCCCUGCACCUGCCCUUCCAAAGCUGCCUCAGAAUAAGCUUUCUCUGCCGAUGCAGCCUCUUCCCUCCUGCAUGUUUGCAAGGGUCACGGAAGCCACACUCAUAAAGGCAGCCUGGGGUCCUGGACAGAGUCAGAGUGAGUCAGAAUUCGAGUGCUGAAGGCUUGUCAGACUCUGUCCACAUCUGGACAAUGGAGAUAAAGGUCAUGGGAGUCUCCGCAAAGGGUUCUUACAAGAAGAGCGAGAUCCCAGGACCUGGUACAUAACACCUGCUCUUUUCUUUUUACGUACUUACUAAAUGAGUUAAACCUUAGAAGAUGAAUCUUUUUAUAAGAGGUUGUAGCAGAGGCUGCUGGCGGGCUGCCCACGGACCCUCACCUUGACCAAUGCAGUGCACACCUGCCUGACUUCCGCCGGCUGACACCUGUGAGUCUCUGCCUGGGGGCUGAUGUGGGCUGUCAGAGACAACUCUGUUCUCGGCCAGAAACUCCAGGGGCCCAAUGUCCCCCAGAGCCCCUCUCAGCCAACAGCUGGCAGGAGCUGUGGAUAAACAUCCACUUCCUCAUUUCCUGUGUGUGUCCCAUACCCCACCCCCCAUGUCCCCAGUGGGACUGAGGUGCUGUCACCCCCAGGAGUCAAGGGAUAGCUGUUUGGAAGGGCAGAUCAGGGGGUGGGAAAGUGAGACAAGGCUGGGAAGACAACAAGAGAGGGUCCAUCAUUAAGGAAGUUAGAACUGUGGGUUAGAACUUCCUUAAUGAUUCAUUCAUCUCUCUUCUUCCCAUCCCUAUCUCAUUUUCCCCCUCCCUGAACUGCACGGCCAAACAAAUGACAUGCCCUUGAAUCUCUGUCCCUGGGACCUGUAGCCAGAGACCAGGUGGAAUGGGUGCCGUCGAGGGAAUACAGGUGGGGCACUCGCAACUAGACAUCAUAU